AACAAAUAAAAGUACAUGGAGGAUGACAUACACCUUAGCCUCCAAAGAGUGAUGACAAUUGAUACUAAUGAUUCAUAUGCUAAAUUACAAAAAGAAUAUUGCCGAAAUAUGAGAGGACUCCUCCCUCCAAUACACGAUUUGUACAAGUAAUAGCUUACUUAUAAUUCACUGCUAAUAUUCUUCAUCUCAAUCAUUUGGAAUAUUAAAAGAUAAAAAUCUGGAAUGGCAUCUUGCUCUUGCUUCAAGAAAGCUCUAAAUUGCCUAGGCAAACAUAGAGCUUUCUAUGAGAAAAAAGUGAUUUUUGUCUCUUUCGCCCAAGCUUAGCAUUUGAUCUGUAACAACAUUUCCUUCCCUAAUUGUGCCAUGGGGACCUAACUUUCAUAUUGAUUAUGUUGACAAUCGAAAGAGAGUCGAACUUUACCACAAGCUUUAGUAAAUUAAACCUACCAAUGCAUAAGUUCAAGCCCUGUAGAAUUGUCUUAGCUUCUGCCAUGCAUAUUAUUGCUACAAUGUAUGUAGUAUCCAGCAAAAGCUACUACCAUAUGUCCAUAAUAAUCACUGAUUAUGCUACCCGCUCAAGUACUCCCAGGGUUUACUACAGCCAUCUACAUUCAUUUUUAUCUAGUCCUCCUUAGGUUUGGCCCAUUUUACCAACUGACUUUGGAGGACUUCUUGCAGUUUUUCCACUCUAGCACAUUUAUCCUUUCAAGCUAAAGGUAAUUGCAACUUAGAGAAUUGACACUGGAAAAUCAGAGAUACUUGAUGGCACACUUGCCAUAUGGAUGCCUACCAGACAUGUGGAAUUUUCAAACCUUGUUCUUAGCAGAUUACAGAUGAUAGGUACUGUAGUAGCAUUCCAAGAACUUCAUUAUUUGGUUUAGUCAGCCACCAUUAUAAUGCCAAGCUUCUAAAAAUUCCUGGUGUAUACUUAAUGCCACAGUUACUAGUAAAGUAUGCACAAACUUGUCUUGCUAUGUCAUUAUGCCCAAAAAGGUGUGUAAUAGUCUCCUGUUGAGGACAGGUAUAAUAGUUGCAUCUUGAAGGAAUCAUAAAACCAAACAUUUGAGCAGUUUCAUCAGUUGGUACUCUAUUUUGUUGGAGCCUCAUCAUGAGAAAGGAGACCUUAAAAGAUAUUUUUCUGUGCCAAACAUACUUGCAAACAAAGAUUUUAUUUCUAACAUUCCUCAAUUGUUGCCAUGUAGACUUGGUGGAGAAACUGCUUGAGUUUUCCAGUGUCCAACAUGCCCAAUUUUUCCUCCUCCACACAAUUUAACUUUUUGGAUCUUAUUGACAACUGUAGCAGAGAAGAGACGACUAAGUUUAUCUCACCUCAAACUUCUAUUAGAUUGGAGUCGCUCGGAGGUCGAUUCGCGGGGCAAGGGCUUUUUGGAGUAUUAAUCUCCGUGCUUUGAGAUCCAGGUACUUAGGACGUGGUGAUUGCUAGAGUUGUGUUGGUACCAGCCUUUUUGGAGACUACGAGGUAGCUGCUAUGUCGUCUGCAGACUUUGAAGUUCUCUUUCAUUUAUUAUGUUAUUACUGUUCUAUUAUUUAGACAGUGUACUGAGGAUUUGGCCUUGUAUUUUAAUAUUCAAUAGUGCUCAUGUACUCGUUGACACUAGAUCAUUGGGAUGGCUGUAAAAGUAUUACUGUUGUUUUGCGAUUAUCU